GACGAACGCUGGCGGCGUGCUUAACACAUGCAAGUAGAACGAAGUACCGAACGGGUGAGUAAUACUUGGGUACCCUGCCCUCCUUUUUAGCUUAAGCCUUGGAAACGGGGUCUAAUACCGAAUAAAGUGUGAUGGGCUUGCGGCUUAUCAGCUUGUUGGUGGGGUGAUGGCCCACCACGGCGGUGACGGGUAGCCGGCCUGAGAGGGUGACUGGCAAUAAUGGGAGUGAGAGACGGCUAAGACAGCUACGGGAAGGAGCAGUGGGGGAUAGUGCACAAUGUGCGCAAGCCUGCUGCGGCGAAGUCAAGUGGGGGAUGAGGGCGUUAGGGUUGUAAACCACUGUCGAUAUCGAACGGGUAGGUAGAGAAGAAGCGACGGCUAACUACGUGCCAGCAGCCGCGGUAAUUC
rnacentral:rRNA from 1 species